rnacentral:lncRNA from 1 species
AUGAUGGGGGUAUCUGCUGUGGAGAUGAGAGGCUCCCGGGAACCCAGGCUUCCCCAGGAUGUUGCUGACUGCUCCCCACCCACACGAGCGCUGCCAGGUUCCUCACCCCUCCGUGCUCAUCUCCCCUGGAGGGAGGUGGGCAGCCCUUGCCCUGCUGGGCUCUGCGUUGCUGAGGGCAGCUGUGCGAGCAGGCAGCAGGCUGCUCCACAUCACCCAGUGACACGGCUCAGGCAGGCCAGCGUGAGGCAGCUGGUGGCCACUAUCCCUGGUCCAGCAUGGAUGGCUGCUCUGGGGCUGACAGGAGAGACAGGAGGGUCUCCUGGUGCCUGGCAGCUUCAGGCACUCAGUUGGCAGGCAAAAAAGAUGAGAACUUGCCUUGUGGCUUCAAGACAAUCUCCUGGUGGUGCUGGACCUGUCUCUUCCCCUGGGGUGGCUGCUUUCUGGGCAGCAGGAGUGGAGGCAGCUCAGAGGGUGCUGAAGGAUGCAUUUGAAGCAGCCACUGUAACAACACUGGAGCCUGCAAGGGAUGCAGAUGAGCAAGGAGAGAGCAGCAGCGCUCUGCUCCCUCUGUGCCGGGGCGCUCAGGGCACGUCCAGGCUAGCCUUGCCCUUGCUUGGGGACCCAGCCAGGCUCAACCAUUCAGGGUAUGUCCAUCACCACCCCCAGCUCUCAACAAGGCCAGGCAGGCUCUUGCCCUCUCUGCGUCUCUAUCCCAGUGCUCAGGGCAAGAAGCAGAGCUUGGAGUGGAGAAGGGAACAAGGGCAGGUAGGAUGGACACCCCAGCCCCAGGGAGUCCCAGCACCCUGCUCUCAUCACCCUGCAGCCCCUGGUACUCUGGGCCAUGAGUGGUGCACCUUCUGCAAGCCAGCACCAGUGCAGGAGCUGCAGGACUGGGCAGCCAGUGGGUCCAUGCCACCCUGGGCAGGGGUCCCCCCGCUCCUGGCAGGCAGUAGGGCUCUUGAGCUGCCUAGGUCGCUGGCUCAGGAUGCUUUUCAUCCAUCUGCUCUCCUGUCACAUCCCCGUCUCCCUGAUUAUUUUAAUGAGGAUAAUGAUUCACACCUGGGCAAUUCAAACCCGCUAACAAUAACAAUUUUAAUUAGUUUCCACUACAAAUCUGAAACRUCGUCAUUAACAUUUAAAAUGCCUGCGACUAGCAACUCCAUAUAA